rnacentral:tRNA from 1 species
AAUUAAUGAACUUGUUAUAAGUAUAUAUUUUGAAAAUAUAAAAAAGAAGACAUCCUUCUAUUAAUUU